UACGUAGGGUCCGAGCGUUGUCCGGAAUUAUUGGGCGUAAAGGGCUCGUAGGUGGCCAACUAAGUCAGACGUGAAAUCCCUCGGCUUAACCGGGGAACUGCGUCUGAUACUGGAUGGCUUGAGUUCGGGAGAGGGAUGCGGAAUUCCAGGUGUAGCGGUGAAAUGCGUAGAUAUCUGGAGGAACACCGGUGGCGAAGGCGGCAUCCUGGACCGACACUGACACUGAGGAGCGAAAGCCAGGGGAGCAAACGGG
rnacentral:rRNA from 1 species